rnacentral:rRNA from 1 species
AACGAACGCUGGCGGCAUGCCUAACACAUGCAAGUCGAACGGGAUCCAUCCUUCGGGGUGGUGAGAGUGGCGGACGGGUGAGUAACGCGUGGGAACCUGCCCAGUGGUGGGGGAUAACUGCGGGAAACUGCAGCUAAUACCGCAUGAGCCCGAGAGGGGAAAGAUUUAUCGCCAUUGGAGGGGCCCGCGUUCGAUUAGGUAGUUGGUGGGGUAAUGGCCUACCAAGCCGACGAUCGAUAGCUGGUCUGAGAGGAUGAUCAGCCACACUGGGACUGAGAUACGGCCCAGACUCCUACGGGAGGCAGCAGUGGGGAAUAUUGGACAAUGGGGGCAACCCUGAUCCAGCUAUGCCGCGUGAGUGAUGAAGGCCUUAGGGUUGUAAAGCUCUUUUGCCAGGGACGAUGAUGACGGUACCUGGAGAAUAAGCCCCGGCUAACUUCGUGCCAGCAGCCGCGGUAAUACGAAGGGGGCAAGCGUUGUUCGGAAUUACUGGGCGUAAAGGGCGAC